GCCAGCAGCCGCGGUAAUACAGAGGGUGCAAGCGUUGUUCGGAAUUAUUGGGCGUAAAGCGCGUGUAGGCGGCUUAGCAAGUCGGAUGUGAAAGCCCUCGGCUUAACCGAGGAAGUGCGUUCGAAACUGCCGAGCUUGAGUACCGGAGAGGGUGGCGGAAUUCCCGGUGUAGAGGUGAAAUUCGUAGAUAUCGGGAGGAACACCAGUGGCGAAGGCGGCCACCUGGACGGAUACUGACGCUGAGACGCGAAAGCGUGGGUAGCAAACAGGAUUAGAUACCCUGGUAGUCCACGCUGUAAACGAUGAGCGCUAGGUGUUGUGGGUGUUGACCCCUACAGUGCCGCAGCUAACGCAUUAAGCGCUCCGCCUGGGAAGUACGGCCCCAAGGCUAAAACUCAAAGGAAUUGACGGGGGCC
rnacentral:rRNA from 1 species